CCUACGGGAGGCAGCAGUAAGGAAUAUUGGACAAUGGACGCAAGUCUGAUCCAGCCAUGCCGCGUGAAGGAUUAAGGCCCUCUGGGUUGUAAACUUCUUUUAUAGGGGACGAAAAAAGGGCUUUCUAGCUCGACUGACGGUACCCUAUGAAUAAGCACCGGCUAACUCCGUGCCAGCAGCCGCGGUAAUACGGAGGGUGCAAGCGUUAUCCGGAUUCACUGGGUUUAAAGGGUGCGUAGGCGGGCAGUUAAGUCAGUGGUGAAAUCUUCGAGCUCAACUCGGAAACUGCCAUUGAUACUAUCUGUCUUGAAUAUUGUGGAGGUGAGCGGAAUAUGUCAUGUAGCGGUGAAAUGCUUAGAUAUGACAUAGAACACCGAUUGCGAAGGCAGCUCGCUACACAAAUAUUGACGCUGAGGCACGAAAGCGUGGGGAUCAAACAGGAUUAGAUACCCUGGUAGUCCACGCCCUAAACUAUGGAUACUCGACAUUUGCGAUACACAGUAAGUGUNUGAGACGAAGACAUUAAGUAUCCCACCGUACGGAAGGUAACGACCGACCGAAGGUUAGUAAACGUUAAAAGUUAAGUAAGUUAGUACGGACGUAGAGACGUUAGACCGACGGACGACGACGAGGGGAGGUAGGG
rnacentral:rRNA from 1 species